CCAGACUCCUACGGGAGGCAGCAGUGGGGAAUAUUGCACAAUGGGGGAAACCCUGAUGCAGCGACGCCGCGUGAGUGAAGAAGUAUUUCGGUAUGUAAAGCUCUAUCAGCAGGGAGGAUAAUGACGGUACCUGACUAAGAAGCCCCGGCUAACUACGUGCCAGCAGCCGCGGUAAUACGUAGGGGGCAAGCGUUAUCCGGAUUUACUGGGUGUAAAGGGUGCGUAGGUGGCAGGGCAAGUCAGAUGUGAAAGCCCGGGGCUCAACCCCGGUACUGCAUUUGAAACUGUCCAGCUGGAGUGCAGGAGAGGUAAGCGGAAUUCGUGGUGUAGCGGUGAAAUGCGUAGAUAUUAGGAGGAACACCAGUGGCGAAGGCGGCUUACUGGACUGUAACUGACACUGAGGCACGAAAGCGUGGGGAGCAAACAGGAUUAGAUACCCGGGUA
rnacentral:rRNA from 1 species